UGGGGAAUCUUGCGCAAUGGGCGAAAGCCUGACGCAGCGACGCCGCGUGCGGGAAGAAGGCCUUCGGGUUGUAAACCGCUUUCAGGAGGGACGAAGCCACUCGGGUGAAUAGCCCAGAGGGUGACGGUACUUCCAGAAGAAGCCCCGGCUAACUACGUGCCAGCAGCCGCGGUAAUACGUAGGGGGCUAGCGUUGUCCGGAUUUAUUGGGCGUAAAGAGCGUGUAGGCGGUCAGGUAGGUCGGUUGUGAAAACUGGAGGCUCAACCUUCAGAGGUCGACCGAAACCCCCUGGCUAGAGUCCGGGAGAGGAGAGUGGAAUUCCUGGUGUAGCGGUGAAAUGCGCAGAUAUCAGGAAGAACACCCGUGGCGAAAGCGGCUCUCUGGAACGGUACUGACGCUGAGACGCGAAAGCGUGGGGAGCGAACAGGAUUAGAUACCCGUGGUAGUCCACGCCGUAAACGAUGGGCGCUAGGUGUGGGGAGGUGUCGACUCCUUCCGUGCCGAAGCUAACGCAUUAAGCCG
rnacentral:rRNA from 1 species